rnacentral:rRNA from 1 species
GACGAACGCUGGCGGCGUGCCUAAUACAUGCAAGCCGAGCGAAUUUACGAGAGCUUGCUCUCGUAAAUUAGCGGCGGACGGGUGAGUAACACGUGGGCAACCUGCCUAUAAGACUGGGAUAACUUCGGGAAACCGGAGCUAAUACCGGAUAAUUCACAUCUGCUCAUGUAGAUGUGCUGAAAGACGGUUUCGGCUGUCACUUAUAGAUGGGCCCGCGGCGAAUUAGCUAGUUGGUGAGGUAACGGCUCACCAAGGCCACGAUGCGUAGCCGACCUGAGAGGGUGAUCGGCCACACUGGGACUGGGACACGGCCCAGACUCCUACGGGAGGCAGCAGUAGGGAAUCUUCCGCAAUGGACGAAAGUCUGACGGAGCAACGCCGCGUGAGUGAUGAAGGUUUUCGGAUCGUAAAACUCUGUUGUUAGGGAAGAACAAGUACCAGAGUAACUGCUGGUACCUUGACGGUACCUAACCAGAAAGCCACGGCUAACUACGUGCCAGCCGCCGCGGUAA